rnacentral:rRNA from 1 species
GACGAACGCUGGCGGCGUGCUUAACACAUGCAAGUCGAACGAAGUGGCGAACGGGUGAGUAACGCGUAAUCAACCUGCCCUUCAGAGGGGGACAACAGUUGGAAACGACUGCUAAUACCGCAUACUGAAGGAGGGGAUUGCGGUUGAUUAGCUAGUUGGAGGGGUACAGGCCCACAAAGGGGAUGAUCAGUAGCCGGUCCUGCAGGAUUAACGGCCAAAUUGGGACUGAGACACGGCCCAGACUCCUACGGGAGGCAGCAGUGGGGAAUCUUCCGAAAUGGACGAAAGUCUGACGGAGCAACGCCGCGUGAGUGAUGACGGCCUUCGGGUUGUAAAGCUCUGUUAAUCGGGACGCGGUACCGGAAUAGAAAGCCACGGCUAACUACGUGCCAGCAGCCGCGGUAAUUC